rnacentral:lncRNA from 1 species
GCCUGCUGCAAGCAAAAUUCCCGGCGGUUCCUAUUCAAUACUAGUAUGUACUUUCAUUGUCUAGUGGCAGUUCAAGUGUCAUUGACCUUUUUUCAUGCCGGAUGGCAACUAUUACAGGGCCUAUCUAUUUUUUUUUACUGUCAAAUGAUUGUUCUCGGCCUGAACAUGCAUGUCAAUAAUAUUUGCCACUGGACAUCACGC